CGGUCCAUGCGGACCCUACCAUAACAGACGGAGCCAGCGAGGGCUCGCCAGUAUCUCUCGGCAGCGAUUAUGGUGCGUUCCAGAGCCCACAAACCAGUGGGACGUGGGACUUAUCCUACCUCCAACUAAGAAAAAGGCACUGGAAUGCCUGUCGAAGUGGAACAUCCCACCGUCGAAGUGGAACCUCCCACUAUCGAACUGGGGGGUGAUCGACCUACCCCCACUUCACCAAAUUUAAGUCGGAGGAUAAUGGCGGCGCCCGUGCAGUCACAGUUCGUGCAAGGUAGGUCAUGGAGCAGAUCUAAAUCAUUUUCAGCAAAAGAAUCAUGAGAAUAGCAAAGACAGUCACCACAUCCUAGAUUCCUGACAGAAACUGAGAGGGAGACAGGGACAGAGGACCAUGGAGAGGAGAGUAUGGAGGAAGAGUCCAGCAGCUCAAGUGCAUCACAGAUGCAAUGCAAUGAUAACUUUACUCGAGAGCAUACGCUCUUUCUUAUUGAUUUAAUGAGGAGACACCUAGAGGCAAAUGGGAGUGAACUCCCUCAGACCCUGGCAGAGCUUAAUAGCAGGAUAAAACAUGGGAAAGGCUCAAAGAAACAUAUGUGGGGGGAAAUGGCUGGUCAGCUGUCAGACCAUUUUGGUCAGAUAUUUGAUCCUGCACGGCUCAAUAGAAAAUGGAACACCCUUAUAGAUGGGUAUAAAAAAAUUAAGGAUAAUAACAGGAGCGCAGGGAGGGGAACAAUUCUCUUCAAAUUCUAUAAUGAAAUGGAUGCUCUUUUGGGGGCAAACCAUGAUGUCGAGUUCCCAGUUAUUGGAACUUCAGAGGGCAUCCAGAUUCGCAGGCCUGAUCUGGUCAAUGACGGUGGGCAGUUACUUGCAGCCAGCCCAUCUCCACAGGGUAGCAUAGCUAGCACAGUGAGCCCAGCACCGAGCACAGUGAGCCCAGAACCGAGCAGUGAGCACACCUAGCAGCAAUGUGACCUUGUGGAAUUACUCAAGAGUGUCAGAGUCUGCCAAUGGAAGGAGGCACAGUGAAUUAUUAAUUCAAAUGAAACAGGCUCAGACCUCCUUUGAAGUUCUAAUGAGAGAAUAUCUUAACAAGUCUCAAAGUGUUGGGUUAGGGUUAGGGUAGUGAACCAAGGUAGUAGUGAGUAGUAAUUUCUCUUGAUAAUUUAAACUAGCCAUAGCCUACUAUACCACUUGUUUGACACAUGUUCAGUGCCUAUACCACUUUUUGGACAGCUUGUGUUAAAAAAAAUGUUAUAAUUAAAUGUAUUGUCAUAGCCUACUAUACCAUUUGUGCCAACAAUUUUUUGGACAUGCCUGUUAAAAAAUGUCAGUUAUUAAUUUCCAGGGCUUAUGUAUCAUGAUUUUUCAUAACUGUAUUCAAAUAAAGGUUUUUUUUACUCUCAAA